rnacentral:rRNA from 1 species
AACGAACGCUGGCGGCAUGCCUACACAUGCAAGUCGAACGAAGCCUUCGGGCUUAGUGGCGCACGGGUGCGUAACGCGUGGGAAUCUGCCCUUUGGUUCGGAAUAACAGUUGGAAACGACUGCUAAUACCGGAUGAUGGCGAAAGUCCAAAGAUUUAUCGCCAGAGGAUGAGCCCGCGUAGGAUUAGCUAGUUGGUGUGGUAAAGGCGCACCAAGGCGACGAUCCUUAGCUGGUCUGAGAGGAUGAUCAGCCACACUGGGACUGAGACACGGCCCAGACUCCUACGGGAGGCAGCAGUGGGGAAUAUUGGACAAUGGGCGAAAGCCUGAUCCAGCAAUGCCGCGUGAGUGGUGAAGGCCCUAGGGUUGUAAAGCUCUUUUACCCGGGAUGAUAAUGACAGUACCGGGAGAAUAAGCCCCGGCUAACUCCGUGCCAGCCGCCGCCGUAA